CUGAAUCACCAUAAAGUAGGAUUCUGGCAGAAGAACCUCAUUAUCACAGGAUGAUGGGGGAGAUUGUAUGGAGCAGGUACCUGCCACCAGUAGGAGCCAGGAUUGCUGGAGAAGGCGGGGAAAUGAAAACCAGCAAUGACCUAGACUGUUCCUGGGCUGUCUGUUCCUGGACUAUAAAGGAAAUGGUCCGAAGAAUAUGAAAUGCCUGAUAAAAUAUAUGCAAAGAAAAUCGUAGAAAUAUGAUAGGUACUUCACUGUCUCAUGUUGCCAAGAAAAGAAACCUCAGGAGUAACUCAGGAUUCUUCUCCUCGUUCAGUUCUUGCUCACAGGACCGGGACACCUCAGUGGACAAUGCAACUUUUCAAACAUCUAAGUGAGCUAAGGACACUCUGGACUUAUGCUAUCUUGCAGCAGAGAGUUGGAGAAUGGAGCAACAACUGUAUUAUUGAAGAGCUCCAUAGCCACAGACUGGGAAAAGCAUGAUCGGAUGUGAUUUUCAGAACAGAUGCCCAAGCAGAGUUGGCAGUUAAUUAAAAGCACUAUGUACUUAAUGAUUAACUAAUCACAGCGUGAUGGCAUUCAACGGAGAUGCAAGAAACUUCUCUGCUGGAUUCAACAGAGAAACUCCU